UUUCUACACACAUCUCCAAGCUACAUUUGAGGAGAACAUACAGAUGGUCAUAUUAUUUUGUUCAACUAUGAUACAAGAUAGGGAGAUGAUGUGGGUUGCCAUUUUGGAACCAGAGCCUAAGCAAGAGCAUUGCAAGGCGAUAUGGGAGCUCAGAAAGUCGCCAUAAAACUACCGUUUAAGACCAGGUUUACUGCAACUCGCAUGAUGCAGCGUGGCGGUGGCGCGGAGGACCAAGCGGGAAGUGAACCAUCAGCCUUUGAGUUACCUGUCACCCUUGGCAUCAAGAAGAUGACACCCAAGCCGU